rnacentral:rRNA from 1 species
UACGUAGGGGGCAAGCGUUGUUCGGAAUUACUGGGCGUAAAGCGCGCGUAGGCGGCUAUGUAAGUCAGGUGUGAAAGCCCUCGGCUCAACCGAGGAACUGCGCCUGAUACUGCAUGGCUUGAGGUCCGGAGGGGAGAGUGGAAUUCCCGGUGGAGCGGUGAAAUGCGUAGAGAUCGGGAAGAACGCCGGCGGCGAAAGCGACUCUCUGGUCGGAAUCUGACGCUGAGGCGCGAAAGCUAGGGGAGCAAACGGG